GUGGAUGAAUGUACUUAUCAAAACAAACAAACCACGUAUGCUUUCAACGAAAUGCUCGAGUGAACUUGCUGUUACCUCGAUUGAAACCACGUGCCGAUUUAAUUCUAGUGUUACUCCAUAUUUUUAGUGUUAACCGACAACAAAAAUGCAAUUUCAAGGAGUCAUGAGGAUUAUUUUACCGACGCUGUGGGCUAUUUCAACCAUAGCAGAGGAAACCACGAUGUCGCCGACAGGCAGUACUACUGCCAUCAACACCAAACAUAUCACGAAUUCGAGUGCCAAUAACACGACGUCCAAGAACAAUCACCGCAACUUUUUCAACGCUUUCGUAGUAGAUAAUUCAAUGAUACAAAGAACAUUGUACGUCCUUAUUGGAAUCACCACAAUUGGAGUGCUCUAUUUCCUCGUGAGAGCUGUGCGGCUGAAGAAAACAACAACCUCUCGGAAGAAAUAUGGCCUGUUGUCAAACUAUGAUGACAGCGUGGAGAUGGCUGCUCUGGAGAGUGAUGAGGAGGACGACACUGUAUAUGAAGCCAGGUCCCUGAGAAGAUAAGUCCGGGUCUUGUCAAAGAACACACAUUGGACUAGGGAAAGAAUGGAGACAUUCCUAAAGCAUAUUUUUCAAUGGUUAUUAUGGCAUAUCAUUGUUUUUCUUAUUCCCUUGGCCAUGAAAACAGCAAAACUGGCUAUCAAAAUGACUGCUCUAUUUUCUGAUGAACUCAUGUUGUAUAGCUGCCUGGGUAUGAAGAAAACAUAGUGUUUUUGGUGACCAAACCGACAGUUGAUUCUAUCUAUGAAGAGGAAGAAAUGGGAUUUGUAACAUUACAAGACCAACCAGUUGUGCUGGGUCUGAUGCCAAAGCUGCUUGAGUGAAUGUGAGCAGGAUAAUUUUUUCAAAUCAGCUCAGCGACAAUGCGUUGUAUUGUGUAAAGUGGACCACCAUGUUCCCUCUGCCCAUAUUGAACUGUGCAUAACAAAGACAACAAUGAACAAAAUGAAAUAUCUCAAUUAACCCGGUCGAUGUGUUGCCAAGGUUUUAUUUCUUUGUCUCCUAACAAAAUACUGUUGCCAUGUCAUCCUAUAUAUUUUGACGUCCACCUUGAAUCAUACUUGGACCAUUAGUUAGGCUAGUUGCUAAUAGCCUGAUUGUGUUUACAAACUACUGUAAACUAAACCAGCCUACCAAUAUCCCCACCCCAUUUGAACUAUGCACCAGAAUGUUGUACUGUACGAUGUACCUGCUCUAUUUGGAAGACCCAGACCUAAUAUGUUCACAAUACUAUUAACACAAAGAAGUUUCUCAGAAAGCAAGACUUAAGACAUUUUUACAAUCUCAGACAGUAUGGAAUUUGUCUCUAAUUAUAGCUUAGGAAAUGCAGACUAAUCAAUAUGCAAUUCCACUGGCGAUCAAAAAUAUCACGCCCUCCUUUAUGUUUACCUGCAACUUUGUAGGAGAAGAUGUUACUCAUAUCAGUUAAACUUGUAAAAAAAAAAAAGAUGGGAUUUUCUAAAGCAUGACUAAUUUCAGAGCUGGUUCUUUUCUUUUUGUUACACAUGGUUGCUGUUGACUGAUUGAAAUUGUAUUUAUGUUUAUGAAGUUCAUUUUCACUUUUUGAAACAUUUACUCUGUGAUUUGUCCAGAGAACUUGCUGUUGUAUUAACACAAGACACUAAAAUGUUGUUGUUUUUUUGUUUAAAAAAAAAAUCCUUUACCAAUCCUUGGUUAUUCAAAAUGUUAGUUUUUGAAUCUAUUGUGUAUUACGUUUCCAAACCAUACUCAAGUUGCUGAAGCACUUUUUAAGUGGAUCCCUGGAAGUCUCUGUCACUACUGUGCUUGUUUCCAUAGCAAUUGCUAGGGGGAAACCCAACGAUAUGACACACUGCUUUAUACAUUGUAAAAUCUUGGUUAAUUGUACCUUUCUUUCCAGGAGGUAACUGUAUUGAUAGUAGAAUGUGAGGUUACCUUCCCGAUAAUCAGAAGAGAUGGUUCUCUCUUUAGGGAAGCUAUCCUGCUGAGAAUACUCCCAGGUGUCUCUCUUGUGAUUACACAUAUUGGAAAAAUUGAUUGUACCCUUUAAACAAUGUCAAUAUCUCUGACAUUUUGCUCUGGCUAAAGUAGCAGGCCCAUUAAUCUGGCUGAUCACCCUGAUACCCUCCCUAAUGUAUCUCAAGUCAUUUUGGAUGCUAUUCAAGAAGCGAAACUUGUUAUUGUGUUUCUGGGAUAAGUGUAAAACUAUAUUUUCCCUCAUGACAGAAAAUUGCAUUUUUGAAUUAAUAUAGCAUCUCCUUUUUGAUUCGUACUGUUAUGUCAAGUACGUGUAUCCAAAUGUGUAGUCUUAUCUCAAAAACGUAUGCCACAAAACCCAGUUACUGUGCUUGUUUGAAUAGGGUCCAGAAUCUGGCAUCAAGUGCCAUGAGUGUCUGUUUUGCAGAGUAUGCACCUCACUCACUCACUCAUUCAGCCAAUGUAGACUAUUCUCCAGCCAUCAGAUCUCUAUAGAGAAGGAGUAGGGGGACUGGGAGCACACAGUUGGAACUGACUACCAGGGAGGGUUUCUGAUGAUAUAGGACAGAUAUGGGAGAAACCAUGGGGGAAUCAUUUGGGGGUGGAUGUGGGGGAGAAACAAUACGUCUGUACUAGAAAGGGUCAUAUUUUGUAAGAAUGUAAAUGCUGCACCUGAGCUGGAAACAGCAGCUGUUGGGAUGCCGGAUCACAUCGUUCGCUGGUGUAAUAAGAUUUGUUUCGUCUUAAGGUGGUUUUCUGUCUGCAUUCCAUUCAGUCUGUGCUAAUCUUGUAUUUAAUGCUAGCGAUGUUAGUCACAUGAUUAAGGCCUCAUUGAAACUUCAAUGCUCUGACUGGAUCUAACAAAUAUAAUGAUGACCUUCUCAGUUUGAAUAUCUAAUUUGUUACCAAUACAGUUUUGACUUGUUUUCAUGGGUUUUUUCUCGCCAUCCUCUGUCAACUGUAUGUACAUUGUGAUCGGCAAUAUCAUUCCUUUGUCAAUACUUUGGCCUGUGUGAUACAGAAGUCAAAGUCGUGUUGGGAAUGAGUUCAAAGUCUGUGUGUAUUUAGUCUUGUGUUCCCUGUUGAAGACUAGUAGUGAGUGCUGUGUGGAUGCAGCAGGGCCGAGGCCCUCUGGUUGGUGGUGGGUAGCCUUGUUCGAUUGUUCUGACACUUAGGCUGUUCCUGUUUGCUCUUUUCAAAUAACAAUGAAAAUAAAAACAGUGAAACUUUGACCAAAA